GUGGGGAGGGUGCGCGCGCUGGUGUUUGCGUUGGUUAUGGGGAGUGGGGGGUGGACAAGGUGGUGCCCUUUUUAUGGGCUUUCUUUCCGAGGGUUCGUUCUUUUCCGUCUGCUCCUCCCAGCCGGAUUAGGCUAGACGCCAGAGCAGUUUGGCGGCUAAAGAUAACACAGUUAUAAUAGUGCCGAGAACUGAAACUUCGCACGUCUUGGAUGCGGACGACGGACAUCCAAUAACGAUUGGGGAAGGGUCUCAAACUACUUGAAUGAAAACACGAACUUUGGAGACGAAAGUGAAAAAAAGACUUCCACGUAAACAGAAUUGGUAGACGAAAUGAGUAAAGAGUAGGAAAAACAUCAACAGAAUUAUAUAUAUAAAUAUAAAUAAAGUGACGACUAUUGAUUACAUUGUAAAAUGAUAUCUUGUAAAGGACACCGUUUAAUGAUUAAAAUUAGACCACACUAAACGGAACAAAUUACGGCAGUUACAGAACCUUGUCAAACAUACUUCUAAGUUCCGGUCAUUAAGUAUAAAGUGAUAUUGCGUACAAUCUGUACUUGAUAACAUGACUACUUUGAUAUCGAAGUGCUGCAAAUAAAGAAUUACAGGGUUUAGAACUCUUACUAAAAUCGAUAAAUGGUAAACAUGGUCUUCAAAAGAUCUUAACACCAAGCAUAGAAACGUUCCGUACUCAAUGAAACGUGGUACUAUUAGAGGAAUCAGGAAUCCCAAUUGUGACUAAACCUUUGAUUUUAUACUAGGGGGGUCUAAUAGAAUAGAAUUUCGAAAUCAUUCUGUCAAGGAAAAAGAGACGACAACAUUUUUACAUAAUUACAAAUUAAGCCAUAACGUUACUUUAAUACAAAUCGUUCUAUUACAAAAAGAAUUAGACAUAUUUACGAGUUGAUCUCAGUUAAUUAUCAAGAAAGAAGUUGUUAAGAUUGCUAUUUCAUCUAAGCAGUGUCAACUAAAGUUCUACUGUUCAUUCUUUUCAUUGUCUGGAUGUCAGUGUAGUACGUGACGAGACGUAUACCUUACCCUGUCCUAAAGAACGGGAUAAACAUACCUCGUUGGUGUGUUACGACAAAAUGAAUAUACGUCAAGCAUGUUCUUACCGACGUCUUCAAUAUAAACAUUGUGUUCGGUAGCUGUGAGAUUAACGGAUCUGGCCAAGUCUCUUUACUUACCUCUAUCAUUCCAGGCACUAAGUGUGAGUUGGAGAAGCCACGAAAGUUUGAGGUUAUUGUCUUGUCAGGUUGGUUCUAGAGUGAUAUCAUGCUAAAGGUCUGUAAACAACUCGGGUUCGGAGUCUUCUGUGUAACUGUUACGAUUAUUGGUUCUUAGACGAUUAAGUUGUGGUAAGAAUCCUCUUUCAUCGUAAUAUUACGUUCUUACAGUACUACGACACGUUUAAAGUCAACUGUACUUCACAGGAGAGACAUCUCCUAGUCAUAGUCCGACCUAAGGACGACCUCUUCAGUCUUUCAUAGACCUGCUCUUCAACUCCACAACGAGAGUACUAACGACGUUUAAACAACCAUCGAUACUCGUCGACGCACUCGUACGAUCUUGUCGAGUGAACGAACGUUUCGGACGGGAACAUCUAUAGAGUUCCUUUUCCAGAACCCUAGCGGAACUUGCACUCGUCCUCAAACCACUACACUAAUCACGUUAGUCCAGUGUCUUAGGACCACGUCAUUAUCAACCACUGAUACAAUAACUCUGAUCUCUACGUUACAGAGGACUACUUCUAAGACCCCUUCUUUCACCACUACUCACCACCAGAGGACGGGUUCUGGUUCAUCUUAGUGGCCUGUUGGCUGUAGCACGGGGAUCCGGGACCGACUUACCUUCUGAACCUAGUGGAUGGUAAACCGGUCUACCUUCCGUACGGAAGGGAUCCAAAGACGGCGUCGGGUCCGGUAAGUCACUAUCCGCGUCGAGUGCACGUCUAACCGUCCCGUAGGCUGCCAGUUCGCGUGUUUCGACCGACGCGGUUCCAAAGAGCUUAGCCGUGAGAUCCGUGUGGUCGUCAAUGGCGCCUAUAGCGGUACCGUAGAAACUAGCUGCAAUGCGACCUUUGUUAGCACGUUCAUAACUAUCCUCCGUCCUACCGGGUUGUAAAGGCGGCCCUUCUGCCGUCGCAAACUCUAUGUGCGUUUCUUCGGUCGUACUAGGUACUAGCCGUCUUCGUUGUGAUGGACACGUCAUAAAUCAAUAAUGUUUGUCGGUUCGGUAGGAACAUUUUAUCAAUCACCACCAAUUCUUAUUUAUAGAACCGGAUAAAUGAUAAACACAUUAUAGAGACAAUCUUUGCAACAUCACGUCUACGUCUUGAAGGGAAGAUUUACAGAUAAGUUACGGAACAAGAACCAUCAGAACAGAAAAGAAAGACACACUCCACCAAGACACUAAUUCAACUUUACUCUAUAUUGUCGUAAAAGGAGGUCCCUAACCAAGUAAGAAAGGGAAAGAAAAACAAGAAGUACGG
rnacentral:rRNA from 1 species